UGGGGAAUAUUGCACAAUGGGGGAAACCCUGAUGCAGCGACGCCGCGUGAGUGAAGAAGUAUCUCGGUACGUAAAGCUCUAUCAGCAGGGAAGAAAAUGACGGUACCUGACUAAGAAGCCCCGGCUAACUACGUGCCAGCAGCCGCGGUAAUACGUAGGGGGCAAGCGUUAUCCGGAUUUACUGGGUGUAAAGGGAGCGUAGACGGCAGCACAAGUCUGGAGUGAAAUCCCGGGGCUUAACCCCGGAACUGCUUUGGAAACUGUGCGGCUGGAGUGCAGGAGGGGUAAGCGGAAUUCCUAGUGUAGCGGUGAAAUGCGUAGAUAUUAGGAGGAACACCGGUGGCGAAGGCGGCUUACUGGACUGUAACUGACGUUGAGGCUCGAAAGCGUGGGGAGCAACAGGAUUAGAUACCCUGGUAGU
rnacentral:rRNA from 1 species